AUUGAACGCUGGCGGAAUGCUUUACACAUGCAAGUCGAACGGCGGCACGGACUUCGGUCUGGUGGCGAGUGGCGAACGGGUGAGUAAUGUAUCGGAACGUGCCCAGUCGUGGGGGAUAACGUAGUGAAAAUUACGCUAAUACUGCAUACGAUCUAUGGAUGAAAGCGGGGGAUCGCAAGACCUCGCGCGAUGGGAGCGGCCGAUAUCAGAUUAGGUAGUUGGUGGGGUAAAGGGCCACCAAGCCAACGAUCUGUAGUUGGUCUGAGAGGACGACCAGCCACACUGGAACUGAGACACGGUCCAGACUCCUACGGGAGGCAGCAGUGGGGAAUUUUGGACAAUGGGCGAAAGCCUGAUCCAGCCAUUCCGCGUGCAGGAUGAAGGCCCUCGGGUUGUAAACUGCUUUUGUACAGAACGAAAAGGUUUCUACUAAUACUAGGAGCUCAUGACGGUACUGUAAGAAUAAGCACCGGCUAACUACGUGCCAGCCGCCGCAGUAA
rnacentral:rRNA from 1 species